UGGUUGCUAAGUGCUGAUUCCACCGCAUCUGAAAUGUGAAGGGGGUUGCUAAGUGCAGAUUCCCCCAAGGGGUUGCUGUGUGCUGAUUCCCCGAUUCAUUGGUGGUGCUAAGUGCGGAAUCCACCAACAACGGUUAACAUUCCGAGUGUUCAACGAGUAAAUUGAGAAGGUGAAUAUUCAUAUAUAUGGUGGACGAGUUUAUGGGAGGAAUAUCGGGUUUGAUACUUAAUCAACCCAUGUAUAAGAUGGGAGGAAAAAUAAAAAAAUACAAAAGAAACAAUUUGAAUGCAAAACUGUUUUGAGUGGCAGCAGUUGGGAAACUUUAAAAAAUCACCAUAAAUGGUGAAAAAUGAAUUGGAGGUUGAAUAAAAUAUUAAAUUGAAGCCGAAUGAGUCUAUUUUCAUAUGAAAGAAGUGGGGAAAGCAAAGAAAUUAUAUAUUUAGGGAUAUUUAAAUUUUACUGAGACAGGAUUGGAUUGAAUUUGAAAUCCCCUGUUCCAAUUUUGAAAAAUCACCAAAAAUUCUACAAAAAUAAUUAUGGCUUGAAAUUUAUAUGAAUGAAUUUUUUUUGAGUCUAUUUUUAAUAUAAAUAAACGAGAACAUUUUUUGAAACUUGUAUAGAGAGUUAUGUGAAUUUUUGUAAGGGGAUGUCAGGACUGUCGGGUAGUGAAACAGGGGAAACUUUAAUGAAUAAACUGUACUAAUUGGCCUGACCGAAAAUUCUAAAAAUUUUAUGGUGGAAAGAUAUAUGAAUCUAGUUUCAGGAAAAAUUUACAGAAUUUGAUUUGGAGCCCUGUAGCUCCCGAUAAAAAUAAAUUAGUGACCAUGACGCAGAAAUACUGCUUGCUGAAAUUUGACUAAAUAAUGAAAUUUGUUUGUGAUAAAAGUUAUAUUUUGGUGUAAUCAUGUGGGAAAUUUAUCCACUUGUCAUAUGUUUACUUACUAAGCUAUAUGCUUACUUGCUUUUAUUUUUCCCUUGAUUAUAGUGAUAUCCAUCAACUUAGAAUCGGGACGGAGUCGGACAAUCAUCCACACUAUCAUCCGUGUUUGGGUAUUUUGCUACUGGUAUUCCAGAAAUUAUGGCAUGUAUAGACGACUUUAUGUAAUGUGGCGUCACUGUAUAUAUAUAUGUUAUGGUUCGAUCUAAAAUGUGGCGUUUAUAAAUAGUUAAAUUGUGUAUCUUUAUACAAUUGUUUUGGUUGGAAAUUUGAAUGGUGGUUGGAAAUUGCAG
rnacentral:lncRNA from 1 species